rnacentral:rRNA from 1 species
AUGACGGUACCUGAUGAAUAAGCACCGGCUAACUCCGUGCCAGCAGCCGCGGUAAUACGGGGGGUGCAAGCGUUACUCGGAAUCACUGGGCGUAAAGGACGCGUAGGCGGAUUAUCAAGUCUUUUGUGAAAUCUAGUGGCUUAACCACUAAACUGCUUAGGAAACUGAUAGUCUAGAGUAGGGGAGAGGUAGAUGGAAUUCUUGGUGUAGGGGUAAAAUCCGUAGAGAUCAAGAAGAAUACCCAUUGCGAAAGCGAUCUGCUGGAACCUAACUGACGCUGAGGCGUGAAAGCGUGGGUAGCAAACAGGAUUAGAUACCCUGGUAGUCCACGCCCUAAACGAUGUAUACUAGUUGUUGCUUUGCUAGUCAAGGCAGUAAUGCAGCUAACGCAUUAAGUAUACCGCCUGGGGAGUACGGUCGCAAGAUUAAAACUCAAAGGAAUAGACGGGGACCCGCACAAGCGGUGGAGCAUGUGGUUUAAUUCGAAGAUACGCGAAGAACCUUACCUGGACUUGACAUCCUAAAAACAUCUAAGAGAUUAGAAAGUGCUAGUUUACUAGAAUUUAGUGACAGGUGCUGCACGGCUGUCGUCAGCUCGUGUCGUGAGAUGUUGGGUUAAGUCCCGCAACGAGCGCAACCCACGUGUUUAGUUGCUAACAGCUCGGCUGAGCACUCUAAACAGACUGCCUUCGUAAGGAGGAGGAAGGUGUGGACGACGUCAAGUCAUCAUGGCCCUUAUGUCCAGGGCGACACA